rnacentral:sRNA from 1 species
UAAGUUAUAUUUUUAAAUCUUUCAUUUCGGGUCACAUUGAGAAUAUACUUUUUAUUAUUAUUUUGCUUUGCCUAGGGAAAAGAGAAGUCUCCAGCUAUUGGUGACGGUGGGCGAACCAGACAGUGGGCAAAUCAAUACGAAGUGCGGCACAGAUAUUGCCCGAAGAAUAUCCUUUGUCGAGCAUUGCAUUGUGAAGUUAAAGGCUUGCAAAUGUCACGUUUUUCUCUAUUAAUGCCAUCUGUUAAACAAAUGCAUUGAUACAAUAUGGGAUCAUCAACCCAACAUCAUUCUAUGAGAGCUGCGCGACUAUCCUUUGCCAUAAGUAGCAAUGCCGAAACAACCACAAUGACAUUGACUGUCAUCAACUCGGCAAACUUGCAAUGCAUCACAAUAAGGAUUGAAAUAACAGAGAAAUGAUUGUGCUCUCAAAAUUUGACAACUAGUGCCAUGGUUAUAUUAAAAAGAAAAGAAAUAAAGAUACGCACAUUGGAAGCUACGACUGCCGAAACCCAAUAUACGUGCUUUACGCCAUAGUUUGCUUCACGGGAAAAGAAAUAAUGCAUAUUUAGAAAAUGCAAACGACGUUAACUGCAUGCCAUUGGGAGCAGAAUUCUGCUUGCGACAUGUUCUUAGAUUAUCUAUAUUCAUAUCUAUGAUUUGACUAACUGGGUGAAGGCAUCAUAAAUCCUUUAUCCCUAUUUUGUAAUUAAGGAUUUUUAUGGUACUUGAAAUAGCUGUUAAAAAACAAUUACAGAUUUUGCGGCAUUUAUGGUACUUCAUUAUGAUCCAUAUUGAAGUAGAAUGUGUGCGAGUUUUUCAUCUAUUGCAGCUAGCCAUUUAUUUAAAAAACGGUGUAUCUUUUUUAUCUAUUUCUUUAAA